AGAGUUUGAUCCUGGCUCAGGAUGAACGCUAGCGGCAGGCUUAACACAUGCAAGUCGAGGGGCAGCGGGGAGGAAGCUUGCUUUCUCCGCCGGCGACCGGCGCACGGGUGAGUAACACGUAUGCAAUCUGCCCCUGUCAGGGGGACAACCCGCCGAAAGGCGGGCUAAACCCGCGUACAUGCCACCGGGGCAUCCCGGAGGCAGGAAAGGCUUCGGCCGGACAGGGAUGGGCAUGCGGCGCAUUAGGCAGUAGGCGGGGUAACGGCCCACCUAACCGACGAUGCGUAGGGGUUCUGAGAGGAGGGUCCCCCACACUGGUACUGAGACACGGACCAGACUCCUACGGGAGGCAGCAGUGAGGAAUAUUGGUCAAUGGUCGGGAGACUGAACCAGCCAAGCCGCGUGAGGGAGGAAGGUACAGAGUAUCGUAAACCUCUUUUGUCAGGGAACAAAGGCGGGGACGUGUCCCCGGAUGAGUGUACCUGAAGAAAAAGCAUCGGCUAACUCCGUGCCAGCAGCCGCGGUAAUACGGAGGAUGCGAGCGUUAUCCGGAUUUAUUGGGUUUAAAGGGUGCGCAGGCGGAGGUGCAAGUCAGCGGUCAAAUUGCGGGGCUCAACCCCGUACUGCCGUUGAAACUGCAUCCCUUGAGUGCGCGAGAAGUAUGCGGAAUGCGUGGUGUAGCGGUGAAAUGCAUAGAUAUCACGCAGAACUCCGAUUGCGAAGGCAGCAUACCGGCGCGCAACUGACGCUCAUGCACGAAAGCGUGGGUAUCGAACAGGAUUAGAUACCCUGGUAGUCCACGCAGUAAACGAUGAACACUAACUGUUCGGCCAAAGGGAUGGCUGAGUGGUACAGCGAAAGCGUUAAGUGUUCCACCUGGGGAGUACGCCGGCAACGGUGAAACUCAAAGGAAUUGACGGGGGCCCGCACAAGCGGAGGAACAUGUGGUUUAAUUCGAUGAUACGCGAGGAACCUUACCCGGGCUCAAACGACACAGGCAUACUUUUGAAAGGAGGUAGCCCUUCGGGGUCUGUGUCGAGGUGCUGCAUGGUUGUCGUCAGCUCGUGCCGUGAGGUGUCGGCUUAAGUGCCAUAACGAGCGCAACCCCUAUCGCCAGUUGCCAUCAAGUAAAGUUGGGGACUCUGGCGAGACUGCCGGCGCAAGCUGUGAGGAAGGCGGGGAUGACGUCAAAUCAGCACAGCCCUUACGUCCGGGGCGACACACGUGUUACAAUGGCAGGUACAGAGAGAAGCCAGGUGGCGACACCGCGCGGAACUCGAAGGCCUGUCUCAGUUCGGAUCGGAGUCUGCAACCCGACUCCGUGAAGCUGGAUUCGCUAGUAAUCGCGCAUCAGCCAUGGCGCGGUGAAUACGUAACCGGGCCUUGCACACACCGCCCGUCA
rnacentral:rRNA from 1 species